GUUUACUUCCUGGUUGCACCAUGAGAAGAGGAUGGCUGCAUCAAAGCUCCCAAACAAAAGUUUUACUUUGAGUGAAGUUCUGGAUAUGUUGGAUCUAGGUGACCACCCAGACAAGGCAUGCAACAUUGCAGAGGGUCGCAAUGAAAGAUGUACAAUGUCACAUGUUUAGUGUAAAUUGUCACAUGACCAGAGCUGUUUACUUCCUGGUUGCACAAUGAGAAAGAUGCUGUCCUCCGUGAUUGUAAUAGCGAUGGGUCAGAUAUGGACUCUGAGGGGGAGACAGGCCAUUUGCCAGCCAGGCUGUUGAAUGUAUAUGCUGAAUCUAUGCAAACAGAUCAUGACAGGAACAAGGUUAUCAGUGAUGAUGCGCAAUGCGGAUAAAAUGCUUUGAUUAAAUGAUGGCCUCAGUUCAUGUGGUUGACAACACAAAGAUCACUGACAACCAAUUUUUGAAGGUUAAGCACAUCUUCUCUGAGCUCAAUCAGUCACACAAAGUCAUGCCAUUUCAGAAAUGGCUGUCAGUGGAUGAGACCAUGAUCCGAUACUAUGGCCGACAUGGAUGUAAGCAAUACAUUAGAGGUAAACCAAUCCGUUUUGGAACAAUGGAACAAGGAGCGACGUGCCUUUUGACAAAGUCCCCACAACCAAAAUGCUUUUGGGAAAAAAGGUCAAUUGAUUCAAGAUGUACUGUAUGACAGUAGGUCUGACUGAUCGUAGUUCAAAAUAGUGAUGCACAAACUAAUUGUGCACUUGGUCCUGAAGCCUACCUCGAAAGAUAUAUAUAUUAUUUUAUUUUGUUCAGUGUAGGCCUCUACUUGAAUGCAUAUUCUACAGGCCAUCUCUAUCCUAAAUGUUACCUGUAUGUUCAAUGUGAAUGGCUCACACGACUGCUAUACAGUUGUUAGUGAAUGUUGCACUAAAAUGUCACAAUGACAAUGUUACAAUGAAUAUUGCACUGAAGUACAAGUUCAAAUGUUACAAUAAAGUUACAAUAUGAAUGCUUCAGUACAUGUUGCACUAAAGUAACACUGUUAGAAUGUAUGUUACAAUAAAGUUACAAUAUUAAUGCUUCAGUACAUGUUGCACUAAAGUAACACUGUUAGAAUGUAUGUUACAAUAAAGUUACAAUAUUAAUGCUUCAGUACAUGUUGCACUAAAGUAACACUGUUAGAAUGUAUGUUACAAUAAAGUUACAAUAUUAAUGCUUCAGUACAUGUUGCACUAAAGUAACACUGUUAGAAUGUAUGUUACAAUAAAGUUACAAUAUUAAUGCUUCAGUACAUGUUGCACUAAAGUAACACUGUUAGAAUGUAUGUUACAAUAAAGUUACAAUAUUAAUGCUUCAGUACAUGUUGCACUAAAGUAACACUGUUAGAAUGUAUGUUACAAUAAAGUUACAAUAUUAAUGCUUCAGUACAUGUUGCACUAAAGUAACACUGUUAGAAUGUAUGUUACAAUAAAGUUACAAUAUUAAUGCUUCAGUACAUGUUGCACUAAAGUAACACUGUUAGAAUGUAUGUUACAAUAAAGUUACAAUGUUAAAAUA